UUAUAUUUCAAUCUUUUUUUAAAUCCAUCACAUGGAUUAUCUGGGCCCAGAUUUUGCUAAAUUAAAAUAUCCAGAUGCAUAUCUCCUACUAAUUCGGAGGGGUCAAUCCCAUCUUGACUCACGCACCGACUUGACAAAUACUCGACUGUACCCAAAAAUCUUCCAUCACUGAAUUAAAAUUUUAAUUAGUCUGACAUUAAGGUACAGUGAGUUGCUUGUAAGCCACUGUGCUGAU
rnacentral:lncRNA from 1 species